rnacentral:lncRNA from 1 species
GCUCAUGGUGAUGAUGUGCACUGCCAACGCAAUGAGCCAAAUGUGUAUGCACACAAGCGAUUUAAGAACUGUGAUGGCUGUGUGCUAACAUAAAUAAAGUCGAUCCAAUUGUGUCGCGUAGACCUGGCCUCACAUACCAUGUUUCUUUGCUCAGAAACCAAUCCAGAUGCAAGUGCAGACUUGGAAGGAAAAGAUAGACCAAGGAGAGGAGAAAACAGAAAUACAUGGAGAACGCAGGUGCUGAGAGACGGAAAGAUAUGCUGGAAAUUAUGCAACUCUUUUAGUUUAUGAAGGAAGACAUGGAACUGGUGAUCGAUGUAGCAGAGCAAAACUUUUUGAUGGGAAGUGUGGAGAAUAUGCACAAUGAAUAUGUCGCCAAACGCUCCGCGGAGAUUUCCCAUCUCAGCGAGCUGAUUGAUGAGAUGGAGGGGAAGUGCCAGCAGCAGCGAGUGAAUUCCUGCAGGACAUCAGAAGCGCCUUAGCCAGGUACGUGCUUCCUUCUCACUCUCUCUCUCUCAGCCUUCAUGAUGCUGGGAAAGGACUUG